GAUGAACGCUGGCGGCGUGCUUAACACAUGCAAGUCGAACGAAAAGGCCCAGCUUGCGGGGGGUGCUCGUGUGGAACGCGGGAGUGACACGCGAGUAACAUGCCCUCAUCACUGUGGGAUGCCUUCAGGACAGGGGGUAAUAUACCGGAGAGGCGUCCCUGCCGCGGGGGGGGGUGUGGAGAGUUUCGGCGGUUGGGGAUGGACUCGCGGCUUAUCAGCUUGUUGGUGGGGUUGUGGCUUACCAAGGCUUAGACGGGUAGCCGGCCUGAGAGGGUGACCGGCCACACUGGGACUGAGAUACGGCCCAGACUCCUACGGGAGGCAGCAGUGGGGAAUAUUGCACAAUGGGCGCAAGCCUGAUGCAGCAACGCCGCGUGCGGGAUGACGGCCUUCGGGUUGUAAACCGCUUUCACUUGUGACGAAGCGUGAGUGACGGUACUUGGAGAAGAAGCACCGGCUAACUACGUG
rnacentral:rRNA from 1 species